rnacentral:rRNA from 1 species
ACACGACUACAUUAGAUACCCCUGUAGUCCUAGCCGUAAACGAUACUCGCUAGGUGUCGGCCACGGUGCGACCGUUGUCGGUGCCGUAGGGAAGCCGUGAAGCGAGCCACCUGGGAAGUACGGCCGCAAGGCUGAAACUUAAAGGAGUUGGCGGGGGAGCACCACAACGGGUGGAGCUUGCGGUUUAAUUGGAUUCAACGCCGGAAAUCUUACCGGGACCGACAGCAACAUGAAGGCCAGGCUGAAGACUUUGCCGGAUUGGCUG